UGUAAGCGUAUACCAAAGUUGUUGCAGUUAAAACGCUCGUAGUCGGAAUUUGGCAGUUCCGGAUGUGUGCACGUCGUGUGCGCACUUCGCGGGGAUUGCUUUUGUGGUCUUGCGUAGGAUGAGGCACUUUUAUUAGUGAACGUCCUCACGCAACCACUUUUUACUGUGUGAAAAUCAGAGUGCUCAAAGCAGGCAUUUGCCGUGAAUGUAUUAGCAUGGAAUAAUAGAAUAGGACUUGGUUCUAUUUUGUUGGUUUGUUGGGACUGAGUAAUGAUUAAGAGGGACAGUUGGGGGCAUUUGUAUUUCGGUGCUAGAGGUGAAAUUCUUAGAUUACCGAAAGACAAACUGCUGCGAAAGCGUCUGCCAAGGAUGUUUUCAUUGA
rnacentral:rRNA from 1 species